rnacentral:rRNA from 1 species
GACGUAGGGCGCGAGCGUUGUCCGGAUUUAUUGGGCGUAAAGAGCUCGUAGGCGGUUUGUUGCGUCGGCUGUGAAAUCCCGAGGCUCAACCUCGGGUCUGCAGUCGAUACGAGCAAACUAGAGUGUUGCAGGGGAGACUGGAAUUCUCGGUGUAGCGGUGAAAUGCGUAGAUAUCGAGAGGAACACCUGCGGCGAAGGCGGGUUGCUGGGCUGACACUGACGCUGAUGCGCGAAAGCCAGGGGAGCGAACGGG